UUCGGAUAUGGCCCUCUUCGUGAGCGCCUGGCCUUUAGAAAAAUUUUUUUUUGUGUUACUGGUUCAGGGCCAGACUCAACGGAAGAAUCCAGAACCUCAACCCUAGUAUCCCUAAAACAUGAAGCAGAUGACAGCAGUGACUGUGCUCCUGAUCCUGGGCACUGGGAGCCUUGCUAAGACCACUCAGCCCUUCUCCGUGGACUCCUAUGAGGGACAAGAGGUGAACUUGUCCUGCACCCACCCCAACAUCGCUACAAAUGAGUACAUCUUCUGGUACCGACAAGCCCACCACCAGGGGCCACGGUUUAUUAUCCAGGGAUAUAAGACAAACGUGGCCAAUGAAGUGGCAUCUCUAUUCAUCCCUGAGGAUAGGAAGUCCAGCAUCCUGAGCCUGCCCCAGGCUGCUCUGAGAGACACUGCUGUCUACUACUGCAUC